UAUGGCCACAUCAUGUUGAAACAUUGGUUCCUGUAUGAUCACCAAAAUUAUGCAACAGUGAGCUUGGUCAGUACUUAAAUGGUUGACCACUUGGGAAUACCAGGUGCUGUUA